GGACUGGUUUCGGAGGUGCCUGGGUAAAGCAUGUCAAUGAAAGUCAGACAGACAAGAUACCAAACACAGGCUUCCAGGAGGAGCACACAUAUCAGGAGCUGCAGCUUCAGAACCUCUUUAAACAGAAGACAGGAAUCUCCACGUUAUGUUAAGGGCAUGUCAUACAAAAACAUUCCUGAAGGCAAAGACGGCAGGACAAUUUCAUCUGGGAGAAUGCAGGUAAUUGAUCAUAUACCGGUCCGGUAAACAAAUAAUGCUAUGCACUCCACACAUCACUAUAAAAAAUUACACUUUAUUUGCCUUGAUACAUGGACAUUUUAUUUAGGUACAUUUUUUUUAUAUGAAAAUAGUGUGGCAGGCUUAUAUAACGUUCUUGCUGUACAAUCUGCAUCUUAUGCAUGAGAAUGCGAGUAAGACUUGCAGUGUUUUAUAUAAGGUCCUGAAA